rnacentral:rRNA from 1 species
CUACGGGUCGCUCCAGUGAGGAAUAUUGCACAAUGGGGGAAACCCUGAUGCAGCAACGCCGCGUGGAGGAUGACGCAUUUCGGUGUGUAAACUCCUUUUAUCAGAGAAGAAAAUGACGGUAUCUGAUGAAUAAGCUCCGGCUAACUCCGUGCCAGCAGCCGCGGUAAUACGGAGGGAGCAAGCGUUAUUCGGAAUCACUGGGCGUAAAGGACGCGUAGGCGGGUUUUUAAGUCAGGUGUGAAAUCCUAUGGCUCAACCAUAGAACUGCACUUGAAACUGGGGACCUAGAGUAUGGAAGGGGCAGGUGGAAUUAGUGGUGUAGGGGUAAAAUCCGUAGAUAUCACUAGGAAUACCGAAAGCGAAGGCGACCUGCUGGGGCAUUACUGACGCUGAGGCGUGAAAGCGUGGGGAGCAAACAGGAUUAGAUACCCCGGUAGUC